UGCAUAACUUGCCCGCGUCACUUUUAUAUGUUUUUGAACCGUUAGUUUUGUUUCCAAAGCUUCAGCACAUAGCGGAACUUUAAUCUGUGAAUGUACUGCAAAUGCUCUUUAGAACGCUGAAAGCGAACAGAAAUUAGAUAGCCUAUAGGAUACAGUUCUCUACUUGGAGCGCGCCAGUAACGCUCGUCAGAAAACCCCUCCUACCUCCAGGUGCCUUCAGUUAAGAGCAGCACAGAGGGAAAGUCUUACAGGAUUAGUGUUCUCUGUUAGAGCAACCUGACACUUGCUGUGCAAUUUCCCAAAUCUGUGUUGAGAAUGUUCUAGAAUGUUCAGCGCUGACUGGAGGAUUAUACAUAGACGGCAGUUCCAGCCUGGUGCCGGUGCACAGCCACAGUAUAGAGCGUUUCGUAAAUAAUGGUCAUCUAUUCACCUCCCACCGAAUUCUGACAUCCUCACAUCACCUGCUGGGGUCACCACGGAGACA